rnacentral:misc_RNA from 1 species
CAUAGUGAUAGCCGAGAUCUGCUUCUACAACGUGUAUCACGGCGGGGGUCAAGCACGCCCGUCCAGGUGAUAAAAUGCCGUUCAAAAGUAGAAAGGGCUGUAGAAGAGUGAGCUCAGUGCUCACUUGCUCGUGCUCCUUUGACCUGAUUCGAGCGUGGAGAAGCCAAAGGGUAAACAGAGCCGCACCCAAAACGCUCGGCUGUCUCCGUGAUAUGUCACUCAGAAGGGGGCUAGGGCAAACAAGGCGGUGUAUUAA